UAUAAAACUGUGAUGAAGAGGAGUAUGUAAAUACUGCUAAAAGAGAGGAAAGUUCAUAGGCUGAAAGAUUUUCCAAGUAUAGAUUUACAGAAGGUAGCUUCGGAGUUUCUAGGCUGAAAUAAUAGUAAGUUUAGACGGUGAGAAUCGAUAAAAUCUAUUGAGAGUCAUGAUUUUAUUAUUUAUUUAUACAGUAAAUAUAUAAACAUGGAAUUAAGGUGGUAACGCGAGCUUUUCGUCCUUAUU
rnacentral:ncRNA from 1 species